UACGAGAGGCCCAAACGUUAUUCGGAAUUACUGGGCUUAAAGAGUUCGUAGGCGGCGCAGAAAGUCGGGUGUGAAAGCCCUCGGCUCAACCGAGGAAUUGCGCUCUAAACUACUGUGCUCGAGGAACCUAGAGGUGAGCAGAACUGAUGGUGGAGCGGUGAAAUGCGUUGAUAUCAUCAGGAAUACCGGAGGCGAAGGCGGCUCGCUGGGGGUUUUCUGACGCUGAGGAACGAAAGCCAGGGGAGCGAACGGG
rnacentral:rRNA from 1 species